rnacentral:pre_miRNA from 1 species
CCUCCGUCCCAAAAUAAAUAUAGUUUUGGACCAUUCGUCUUAUUUAAAAAAAUUUUAUGAUUAAUAUUUUUAUUACUAUUAGAUGAUAAAACAUGAAUAUUACUUUAUGUGUGACUAAAUAUUUUUAAAUUUUUAAUAAAUUUUCAAAUAAGACGGACGGUCAAAUGUUGGACACGGAUAUUCACGACUGCACUUAUU